rnacentral:lncRNA from 1 species
UAAAAUUUUUUGAAAACCAAGUUACAGAAGACAUAUAACGAGCCUCCAUUUUUCCACAAUUCAAAGCUAGCAUCAUAGACACUUUGAUUCACUGUCUAUAUCUCUUUUUACUCAGGGACUUGCUGCCUGGCUGCUGAAGUGCUUCUGGCAGAUGCUUUCAGCUGUCAGCCCCUUCAGAGACUGCCUAAGCUGCAAAGAACUGCAUUGGGCAAGCAAUGACCAAGUUCAGUCACUGAUUUAUGUGGUUGUAUAAAGGCCUAUCCAUCUUGGCCCAACUUGACACAACUCUGAAGGACCACUGUUGCUUCAGAUUCCCUGUGGGGUCAGCUAAAGUAGUUGUUGGGCCUGCGUCACAUAACUUUCCCUCUGCCUAUGUUCUGUGUCCUUUUCCUUCUUCCCCGAGAUAUUGAUCCUAAGGAUACGCCUUAAUAAAUACUGUAUAUGCUGAACUCCAUUUUACUGUCUGCUUUUCUGAGAACCUUAUUUUUUCUUUUUUUAAUCAAAAUAUUG